rnacentral:rRNA from 1 species
AAUGAGGGACAUACUACUCUGAACAUGCUGGAUCUCCUCUGAUCUCAGAAGCUAAGUGGAAUCAGGCAUUAGUACUUAGGUGGGAGGAAAGGGAGUGAGGAGACUCUUCAACU